AUACCAAGGGGGCUAGCGUUGUACGGAAUUACUGGGCGUAAAGCGCGCGUAGGCGGAUUGGUCAGUUAGGGGUGAAAUCCCAGGGCUUAACCCUGGAACUGCCUCUAAUACUGCCAGUCUUGAGUUCGGGAGAGGUGAGUGGAAUUCCUAGUGUAGAGGUGAAAUUCGUAGAUAUUAGGAAGAACACCAGUGGCGAAGGCGGCUCACUGGCCCGAUACUGACGCUGAGGCGCGAAAGCGUGGGGAGCAAACAGGAUUAGAUACCCUUGUAGUCC
rnacentral:rRNA from 1 species